UACGUAGGGGGCAAGCGUUGUCCGGAAUCAUUGGGCGUAAAGAGCGUGUAGGCGGCCUGGUAAGUCCGCUGUGAAAGUCCAGGGCUCAACCCUGGAAUGGCCGGUGGAAACUGUCAGGCUCGAGUCCGGAAGAGGCGAGUGGAAUUCCUGGUGUAGCGGUGAAAUGCGCAGAUAUCAGGAGGAACACCAAUGGCGAAGGCAGCUCGCUGGGACGGUACUGACGCUGAGACGCGAAAGCGUGGGGAGCAAACAGG
rnacentral:rRNA from 1 species